rnacentral:lncRNA from 1 species
GCGAUAAGACGCACGGUGUUCUGGGAGGAGUUACGCAGGCAGGGUUGUGGUUGCUGGCUGUUACCAGGACAACCGGAGGCGAUUGACCGUUAUCUGCGGUUUGGAGCCGUUAGCGGGAGAGGCAGAGAUAUUCAGAGGUCUUUUAGGAUGCGCUAAAGGGUCGUGAGGGCUCUCUUAAAAUUUUCUUCACAAGCGGUUAUCCAGUCGUGCCCCGCGGCCCUGCUGCUGGCCCCGGGGAUCUGAGUCGUACCCUCUUGUUUUUCUCUGAGUCAGUCUUAAGGUGAAAUGAAGUGUGGCCCAGUGGCUCCUCACUGUCGCUUCUCUAGUUUUCUGCCUCCUUUUAGAAAAGUGAAUUGAAAAGACAGGAUGAAGUGGACACAGCAUGUGAAGACAAUUCUUUCAAGAAGUUUGGCUGUCAAGGAAAACAGAGAAUGUGCUAAAGAACAUACAGACACAGAGCAGACAGGCCACCUUUGCAACCACAUGGAGGUUUGUCUGAUAUUGAAGCUAAAGAAGCUAAGCUGGAAGACAGAGAGACCAAGUCCUGAUGACAUUGUUUGAACCCAGAGAUCCAGACAUGCCUGAAAACUAGUUUUACCACUGGACUUAUCCGUUGAAUGAGCCAAUAAACUCUCUUUUAUACUUAACCUUGGGUUUUACCUGGAUUUUUGUCAUUGACAGCUCAAAAUAUUCUAAUAUAGAAGUAUACAUCAUUAAAUCAACAU